GCCUGCGCUGGGUCAAGCGGGGAGUGGAGGGAGCGGGGCCUCACCGCCUCCCCUGCCCCCCUUCCCCGCGGCGCUGCGGCGUGGCCGGGCCCGCGGCCCGUUCCCGGGCGCCCUUCCCGUGCGUGUCUCCGGCCCCUCAGGCCGGUGCGGCGCGGCCGCGAACCGGGACCGAGCGCUUGUGGCCUUGUUGCGUGCCCCGUCCGCGCCAACCCGCCCCUGUUCCCUCCCUCGGCCCACACUCCCUCGCCGCUGGCGGUAGCGAAUCUUCACCCGUUUAUUAUAAUUCCCUACACAAAUGGGCUGAGAUCGAGGGAAACCACAGCUCCCGGUACAGCCCGGAAUGGCCGGGCAGGAAGCCCGCGGGCUCCGCUCGCCCUCAGUUCUCGUUCUCCCUCUUUUUCCUUCGGUCUCAUUUUUCCCCUCACUGUCCUUCAUUCUCCCUCAGUGCCCCCCUUUUCCUUUCUUUAUCCCUCAUUUCUCAGUUUCUCUGGUUUUCGCCUGUUGUGCAUUUCUCCUCUUAUUCUCCCUCAUUUUUCCCCUUGUUCUCCCUCGUUUCCUCCCAGCUGCCCGCGGUCUCUCUCAUUUUCUUUCCGUUUCUGUCAUUUUCCCCUCAGUCUCCCACAUUCCUCUCAAUCUCCUUCAUUUUUCUCUCAUUUCCCUUUAAUCUCCCUCAUUUCCCCUUCACUCUCCCACAUUUUUCUUUUUUUUUUUUUUCUUCGAUCUCCCUAAUUUUUCCUCAGUUUCGAUUUUUCCCCUCAGUCUCCCUCAUUUUUCCUUCUCAAUCUCCCUCGUUUUUCCUUCAAUCUCCCUUAUUUUUCCCCCCAGUUUCAAUAUUUUCCCCUCAGUCUCCCUCAUUUUUCCUCAGUUUCUUUCCCCCUCACGUCUCCCUCUAUUUUCCCCCUCGGUCUCCCUCUCUUUUCCCCCCUCAGUCUCCCUCUUUUUCCCCUCAGUCUCCCUCAUUUUUUCUCAGUUUCUUUUCCCCCUCGGUCUCCCUCUCUUUUCCCCCUCGGUCUCCCUCUUUUUCCCCUCAGUCUCCCUCAUUUUUCCUCAGUUUCUUUCCCCCUCACGUCUCCCUCUCUUUUUCCCCCCUCACGUCUCCCUCUCUUUUUCCCCCCUCACGUCUCCCUCUCUUUUUCCCCCCUCAGUCUCUCAUUUUUCCUCAGUUUCUUUCCCCCUCACGUCUCCCUCUCUUUUCCCCCUCAAUUUUCCCCUCAUUUUUUUUCCCCUUAGUCGCCCUCGUUUUUCCUCCAAUCCCCCUCGUCUUUCCCCUCAACCUCACCCCGCUCAUUUCCCCUCAGUUUCUCCCAUUUCUGCCCUUUGUCCCUCCCUCUCCGCAGUUUCUCUCAUCUCCCGCUCUUCCCGCCCUUCCCGCCCGCCGGAGCCCGCGGGCAGCGCGGUGUUCGCGGCCAGGGGGAAACAAUAUCCCGCUCGCUGCUCUGGAGCGGCGGGUAUUUGCAAUGCAAAUGCAGCCGGGGAUUCCUUCAGAGCAGCGCUGGUUAUCACCGCGGGCUCAGCUGGGUGACGAGCCCGGAGGUCACUGUCGUGGCUGAGAAAGGAGCCGCUGGCUGCGGCGUUAAAACCCGCCCGCCCUGCAAAAUAUAAUAAAACCCACCGCGGUUUUCUCAGCAGCGCUGCUGACUCCGAGCGUGGCAUUUGCAUCUGAAAAGUGGGUUUUGUUUACCUUGCCGUCGAGCCCCGAGUGACAAGUUGUUGCGCUCGAUUUUGUGAGCCUCAAAUUAACGCGGGACCCGUCGUCGCGGGUGCGAUUCGUGACUGUUUCUGAGUGUAUUUUCUUUUAGACGCAAAGGCGGAAUUUUUGCGUCGCGCCACUUGUUUGAAAUAGUUUGUUGAUCUGUGUGAGGCAGCAGGAAAAUGCAUGUUAGCCAAUAACGGUGUGUGUGUUGCUAACUGAUGGCCACAGGCAAGGAUUAAUCGGUUCCCAAAUCAUUCUAAAGAGCCAGUUUACCUCAUCAACCUGAUAGAGGAUAUUAGUAAAGCAGAAUGCUUAAUCAGUUCAGUUAACAACAACAACAACAAAGAGUCCAGUUUGGAUUCUUUUAAGUGCUGCAGUUUUCAUUUUCCGUGUUUCUGAUGCGGUCCGAGGAGACAUCUCGGACAGCCUCUUUUCUUCUCCAUUGAGACGGGGCCUCUUUCUCUGGGAGUUCUCAUUGAUACCUUUAAUUGUGAACGUUUUUCCCAUACACGUGACUCUUGGGUCUAAAUCUUUUUAUUUUCAAGCUCCCAAUCUUUACUUUUCAUUCCCGGCCUCGUCGCAGCCUUUGAUGGUUAUGUGUUAUCUUUUUCUCUGGAAAUGUCUGCGUUUUUGCCAAGUUUGGCUCCACUCGUGUUCUGUUGAAUUUCCUCCUUGUGCAAGAGAUAUUGCAUUGACACACUGAAACAUCAUUAGAAUUUGCUUCUAAUUUUAAUUGCCAUCAAUGACUGUUUUUCUGUACUUUCGUUUUUGCCUAGCCGGGUGUCAGCAGCUGUUUUCAUGCUCUCCUCGUGCAGGACCUGGCCUGUCCUCCCGCUUCACACGGUAUUUCCUUCUGCUGCUUUGGACACACGUGGAUCCUCCAACCUUUGUUGCCCCAUGGCCUGGGGUGGGAUCCCAGCAAGAACUUUGGCAUUUCCAAGCCAGCUGCAAAAUGAUUCUGGUGAUCGUCACCUCUUGUGAAGCUCGUCCGAUGAGCCAAACACUCUGUGGCAGCUCCGAGAUGGACACACCUGCCAUGGAACCAAAGAACUGAUGAUAUUUUGGAUGCAGCAUGGGCAGCACAAGCGUCCUCAAACUGCCCCGCCAACGUGCUUCAAUUCUGAAUGAGAAGGACCAGCUUUCUGGGUGGGAAAGGAUUCUGCCUCUAUUCAGCCCCCGACCCUGCCGCUGGAGGCUCUUAAUGAGGGGGCCUCAUUAACACCAAAGACAGAGGUCGCGUUUGGCCAAGUGAUGUAACGCUGGGUGUUGUGCCAAACCCGUCAGCCGGCGGGACAUGCCACAAAGGGCAUUUCACAGCCUGGGAUUGUCCGAUGCUCAAUACAAGCUGCUGGCAGAAGUGCCAAGGGCUGCAGAAGAUGGGCCCAGGCACCUUACGCACCCAUUGGAGCAAACACGAUUGUGCUACAAUAGGAGGAGGUCUAUGAAUGUGCAAUGUCCUUUACGGAUAAAUCACUCUGCCUUGAGAAGUUUUCCAGUCUGCGGGCCAAAUUCUGCAGUGUAAAUUUGUAACAGCAGGAGGCAAUUGGGUGCAGCAGUACAGGUUCCCAGGGCUGGGGAUUCAGCUUCUGGCUUCAUCCAGAAAUCCCUGAGGGUUUCAGAUCCCCACGAGGCCUCUCAAUGUCUUGAUCUGCUUGAAUAGGCAUUUUUAACACAGCCCCGGCUGUCAUCGGAGCCUGUUACAGUCACUCAACUGCAGCAACAUUGUUCUCCAGGCAGCAGCGCCUGGGACACCUCCCUUAUUACCAUUCCGCACGGGAGAUUUUGCUGCUGGUUUUCUCCACCGACCACCACAUCAGCUCAGUGGCUGGAGGUGACCGGUUCGCCCUCCUGGCCCACGCCACUGCCUCCAUCCCUGCAUCUCAGCACCUCCGACCUGGGGCUGCUAGCGCCUGUCCAUCUCCACCCGUCCUGUCGGAGGCGAAGGUGAAGAUGCUGCCACGGACCCCCAGCCUGGAAUCUGACCCCACAGCCGGGGUCUCACCCCUCACGCACCAGGAAAACUGCAAGAUUGACGCUUGGCUUGCGACAGCCCCUGGGAUUUAACUUUAUGGUAACAGGGCUGCAAAUCACAGCGAUGUUGUCAUAUAUGUGAAACACACCCUCUCAUAUUCCAGAGGGAAACAUAAUUCAUGCCUAAUAUAAAGUCUCUAUGCCCUUUAAUACCUGGAGAUUAAUCUUGCAUUUCACUAAGGCUUUCAUGGAACGAAUUGAUGCUCCAAUUAACAGUAAUUCUCAGGCCAAGUGUAUUGGUUUUCUGUAGGUGCUUAGAGCCAAAUCCAGGCCUGUUCCCGCUCCAGCUCUGAAAAGAGAAGCGCUGGUCCCACUUGCACACUUGAGGUCAAACUGUUCGGAAAUGAUCGAGAAACCAAACCCUGUGUUAAAGUAACAACUGCGUUGCGAACAUUUCUUUUCCUGUGAAAUGGUUAAAGAGGCUUUUGGAAGACAAGCAGGGAUAGCACCAAGAAAGAGAACGCUUGCAGAAAAGGCAGCAGCAUGCAAGUGCCAGCACGCACGUCGCGGUGAGGAAACGCGGGGCUCAGAGGUUGCUGAAUCCCUGCUGCAGUGGGCAUUGCAACAAUGCCAUUAAUUACAUGACAGCACUGUUAUCGCUUCAUUAAUUCAGCAUGAGAUGUGCAAGAUCAGAUAGCAGAGGGGAGGGAUGAUCAGGGGAAUUGUGCCAAUAGAGUCAAAAAGAUAAACUGACUCCUUGCAGGGCAACCAAACUCACAGCUUAGGGGAGAAAUGCUACAAAACCGUGUCUGUGGGGGGCACUGGGUCGGAUCUAAGCCCUGAUUUGUGAGUGUCAUCUUAUCUCUUCCCUUUAGGAUGGGGUAAGCUCCAUCUCAAAUGUGGUUAGGAGGGUUUUGUACCCAGUGCUCCUAUUAAGAAGAGGGUUGUCACAGAAAGGGCUGCCGGGCAUCGCAACAGGCUGCCCAGGGCAGCAGUGGAGUCACCAUCUCUGGAGGGGUUUAAAAGGCAUUUAGAUGAGGUUCUCAGGGACAUGGGGCAGUGCCAGAGUUACGUUAUGGUUGAACUCGGUGAUCCUGAGUGUCUCUUCCAACCGAAAUCAUUCUGUGAUUCUAGGUUGCAGAUAUGGAUCGGGGUGGGAGAUGCUGGUUUACAGAGCUUGCGAGCACAGCAGCGCAGCAAGAGCAGCCAAGGCAUGUGCUUGUCUCUACUCCAGACAGGCGCUUUUUGCAGUGAAAGGAGAUUUGUGCAAGACUCGCUGGAGAGCAUUCAGUCACUGAAAACCUUGUGAAGCAGCUUUAGCUGACAGAGGAGCCCACAGGGCCGAGGACAGGAGCAAACGCCUCCCAGGCUCUGCAGACCUGUAGAGCAAGUUCCGAACAGCCCGACUUGCGCGGAAGAGGACGAGGCUGCGUGUCCCGACACCGCGAUGUCACGCCAGGGCUUUGGGGCAGGAAACAGCUGUUUGUCUGGUGUUCGCAGAGUUCUGCGCGAGGAGCUGCCGGGCUCCUGCAUGGGAUUUCUGGGCAGGCAAGAGCGAUGCCGAGACCGACACGCUCUGAGAGUGUUUCCCUGGGCUUAUCUAGGUAACUUGCACCUGCAGUUGAGCAUUUGUGCUGUCAGAGCUCCUGCUGCUUUGCCAGAGAGGCUGCUGAGGAUUCAGGUGUUGUUACCAGCAUCCUGGAUCAGUCAUUUCAGGAAAGAAAUGAGAGGAGAAAGAAGCUCCUGGCUGAUGGCCCUCGUGUAGCACAACACUGUUCUCCUACGAGCAGCCAGAAGACAAUACAUUUCUGGGUCACUGAGUCACUAUAAAUAGUCAGCGCUUAGUUGCUAAACCGCAACCAAUCACUAGCCACCGUGUAUUAUUAGGUACUUAAAAAUGCUGUUUACAUUCUUCACUCAUACCCUUGGUGCUUAUUCCUAAUAAAAAGCAUCCAACCCAA